rnacentral:lncRNA from 1 species
UUUUUUUUUUAAUUUCUUUUUUUUUUAUGAUAGUCAUACAGAGAGAGAGAGAGAGAGAGAGAGAGGCAGAGACACAGGCAGAGGGAGAAGCAGGCUCCAUGCACCGGGAGCCCGACGUGGGAUUCGAUCCCGGGUCUCCAGGAUCGCGCCCUGGGCCAAAGGCAGGCGCCAAACCGCUGCGCCACCCAGGGAUCCCCGUACAGCUUUCUUAAUAACAUCUCAGACAUUCAAAAUACAAAUAGCAUUUUUCACAGAAUUAGAAGAAAUAAUAAAUAAAUGUGUAUGGAACUAUAAAAAGCUUCAAGUAGCCAAAGUGGUCUUGAAAAAGAAAAGCACACUGGAGGUAUCACAAUCCCAGAUUUUAAGACGUACUACAAAGCUGUAGUAAUCAAAACACUAUGGUACUGGACAAAAAGUGAUGCAUGAGUCAAUGGAACAGAAUAGAGAGCCCAAAAAUAAACUCAUGCUUAUAUGGCCAAUUAACCUACAACAAAGAAGGGAAGAAUAUACAAUGGGGGAAAGAUAGUCUCUCAAACCAUAUGCAAAAAUAAAUCCAAAAUGGAUUAAAACCUAAACGUAAGACCUGAAAUCAUAAAAUUCCUAUAAAACAAUGGAGGCAGUAAUUCCUUUGACCUUGGAAUUAGCAAUGUUUUUCUAGCUAUGUCUCCUGAGGCAUGGGAAACAAAAGCAAACAUAGACUAUUGGGACUAGACCAAAAUAAAAAGCUUCUUCACAGCAAAGGAAACAAUCAACAAAAAAAAAGGCAACCUACUGAAUGUUAGAAUAUAUUUCCACACUUGAUCUUAGCCAAAAGGCUGAGAAGCAAUUAGAAUAUACUUCCAAAUGAUAUGUCCAAUAAAGGGUUAAUAUGUAAAAUAUAUAUUAAAAAACUUAUACAACUCAACAUGAAAAAAACAAACAAUCCAAUUUAAAAAAUGGGCAGAAGAUAUGAACAGACAUUUCUCCAAAGAAGACAUACAGAUAGCCAGCAAGCACAUGAAAAAAGAUGUCAAUAUCACUAAUCAUCAAAGAAAUGCAAAUCAAAACUACAAUGAGACAUCACCUUAUACCUGUAUAAGGUACCCACCUAUACAAUGGGUAGGUUCAAAAAGACGAGAAAUAACAAGUAUUGGUAAGGAUGUGGAGAAAAAGGAAGCAUGUCCUGUUAAGAAUUAACACUAGUGCAGCCACUGUGCAAAAUAAUAUGAAAGUUCCUCACAAGAGUAAAAAUAGAAAUACUAUAUGAUCCAGUAAUUCCACUACUAUGUAUUUACCCAAAGAAACAAAAGCACUAUACUUUGAAAGAUAUAUGCGCUCUAUGUUUACUGCAACAUUAUUUACAAUAGCAAGAUAUGGAAGAUAGGUGAAUGGAUAAAGGUGUGGCAUAUAUACACAAUGGAUUAUUACUCAACCAUUAAAAAGGUGAGAUUUUGGUGUUUGUGACAAUAAUAAGUCAAACAGAGAAAGACAAAUGCCAUAUGACUUCAAUUACAUGUGGAACCUAAAAAAUAAAAAAAAUGAAUAAACAAACAAAAAGCAGAAACAGAUCCAUAAAUAUAGAGAAUAAAUGGAUGGUUUCCAGAGGGGAAGGGCUAGAGGGAUGGGCAAGAUGCAUGAAAGAGAGUGAGGGAUACAGGCUUAUAGUUAUGGAAUGAGUAUGUCACAGGGACAGUCAGAGGGAUAGUCAAUCGUAUUGCACUGUACUAUGGCAUACAGUAGCUAUACUACAGUGACAAAUGAUACACUUAGAGAGAAGAUGAAUCACUAAAGUUAUGUCAUACAUCUAAAAUUAAUGUUAAUGUUUAUGUUAAUUUAAAUUAAAAUUAAGUUAAUUUAAAUUAAUGUUAUGUUUAUGUUAAUUAAUGUUAAUCUUAAUUUAACAUUGUGUAUCAACUACACCUCAAAUAAAAAAAAAAAAACUCACCCUAUUUGGAAGACCUUAGGCCCAGUAGUAAUUGGAUCAAGUUGUAUUUUUUUUAAAUGCAUAUUUAAAUAAAUCUUGUGUUCCUGGGAUCCCUGGUGGCUCAGCAGUUGAGCAUCUGCCUUUGGCUCAGGGCAUGAUCCUGGAGUCCCAGGAUUGAGUCCCACAUCAGGCUCCCUGCAUGGAGCCUGCUUCUUCCUCUGCCUCUGUCUCUGCCUCUGUGUGUGAGUGUGUGUGUCUCUCAUGAAUAAAUAAAUAGAAACUUAAAAAAAAUCUUGUGUUCUAAAGUUAAAUAAUUAAUUAAAAUAAAAAAUGAAGAGCAUCUGUUCUCAGGUUGACACAAGAAAUAGAAUUUCUUGUAAAGUUAUGAGAAAAUCCACAGAAAGAUGAUUAUAUUUCAAGGCAUCUUAGCUUUUUAGUUUUAGAUAGAUAUAUAAGUAUAUAUAUAGAUAUAGAAGUAUUGGGCAUUUAUAGUCUCCUGUACAUUCAUUUAAUUUAAUAAACAAUAUUGAAGAAUAGGAAAAAAUAAAAUCUCAGAUGCUAAAACUGUGCUAUACCCAAUUAGAUGGAAAAAUAUCAAAAAUAGAAAUCUUCUAGCUUCAUUCAUUAGUCAAUUAUUGUUAGAUUUAACAAAAAUAUCUACAUUGCCACAGUUUAAGAUCAUUUUACAAAAAAAGAUCAUUUUAACAUAAUUUUUCUUUGUUAAAUUAAUUAAAAGAACACAUUAUUUUACUGUUUAUUAUAUGAUAAACGUGGUGUUCAGAGACUCAACAUUUAACACAUUAGGAUCCUUCAAAAGCUACAAUUACAUUAUAUAACACACAUAGAAGAAAACAAAAUUCAAUGAAAAUCUGGGUUCCAAUGUUUCUGUUCCUUGAGAUUUUUUUAAGAUUUCUACAAGCUCCUAAACUCAAUCAAAAUAAUUAGUAAAACUCAGUGUAAAAAUAAUUUAAGUAUUUUUAAAAUGAUUAUUCUUUGUAUAUUUAGCACAGAGAUGUAAUUACAAUAGUAAUGGACUCAGUGUUAGAAAACCUGGAAUCAGAUCCUACCUCCAACUAUUACACAGAAAUUUAAUUAGACUAAAGCUAAAUUUACCUGUAUGGAAAAUGAGUCUAAUGAUAUCGGCCAUACCGCCUUUAGAACAUUUCUAGAGAACAAAUAAACUGCUUCUCUGGAACCAUUAUGUGAACUGCCAAAUGAUAAAUAUAAAUUAUUUUAUUAUCAUGUUUAUUAAUAAUAUAACAAAAUAUUUAUGUUAAUAUACACUCUGGCACUUAUACACUUCAAAUGCUAGCUUACUCCUGUAACUUUUCAGUGCCUGGAAACACAGAUCAUAGAAAUUAUUUUCUUAAUUACUGUAAUAUACUAGUAACCCCCUCCUCAAAAUUAUAGAGUAGACCUGUUUUUCUUUUUGUUUUUUAAUUUUUUAAUUUUUAUUUUUUAUUUAUGAUAGUCACAGAGAGAGAGAGAGAGGCAGAGACACAGGCAGAGGGAGAAGCAGGCCCCAUGCACCGGGAGCCUGACGUGGGAUUCGAUCCCGGGUCUCCAGGAUCACGCCCUGGGCCAAAGGCAGGCGCCAAACCACUGCGCCACCCAGGGAUCCCUAGACCUGUUUUAAGUAAAUAUUCUACUUUGGCACAGUAAAUGAGUAUUUAUAAUACUUUAAUUACUUAUAUGUCUCCUUUUCCUAUGUUAUCACUCAGAAUUUCAGAUAACCAAUAUACUUUUUAAAUGAAAUAAUAUGCAAUUUUUACAUUUAUCAGUGCAGUGUUCUUCUGCUGGGCCAGUUUACUGAAAAUCAUAAGGUAGAAGAUGAAGAAAAGUGUAGUCAUGGAUCUACCAUGAAGUAUGAUAGAUUUUAAAAUAUUUGUUAUUUGGAGAGAGAGCAUUUCAAACUGAAAAAACUAACAAUAAAAGGGUAGAAGUAAAUCAAAUCCUCCCUCAAGUUUUCCAGGAUUCACAUAAAGCUAUGCUUAAAAAAAAAAAAAAAAAAAA